AUUGAACGCUGGCGGCAGGCCUAACACAUGCAAGUCGAGCGAGAAAGUCUUCGGAUGAGUAGAGCGGCGGACGGGUGAGUAACGCGUAGGAAUUUGACCAGUAGUGGGGGAUAACGUUUCGAAAGGAACGCUAAUACCGCAUACGCCCUAAGGGGGAAAGCGGGGGAUCUUCGGACCUCGCGCUAUUGGAGGAGCCUGCGUAGGAUUAGCUAGUUGGUAGGGUAAAGGCCUACCAAGGCGACGAUCCUUAGCUGGUCUGAGAGGAUGAUCAGCCACACUGGGACUGAGACACGGCCCAGACUCCUACGGGAGGCAGCAGUGGGGAAUAUUGGACAAUGGGGGAAACCCUGAUCCAGCCAUGCCGCGUGUGUGAAGAAGGCCUCGGUU
rnacentral:rRNA from 1 species